ACGGAAGGCAGCAGUGGGGAAUAUUGGACAAUGGGGGAAACCCUGAUCCAGCGACGCCGCGUGAGUGAAGAAGUAUUUCGGUAUGUAAAGCUCUAUCAGCAAGGAAGAAAAUGACGGUACUUGACUAAGAAGCUCCGGCUAAAUACGUGCCAGCAGCCGCGGUAAUACGUAUGGAGCAAGCGUUAUCCGGAUUUACUGGGUGUAAAGGGAGCGUAGACGGCGAAGCAAGUCUGAAGUGAAAGCCCACGGCUCAACCGUGGAACUGCUUUGGAAACUGUUUUGCUAGAGUGCAGGAGGGGCAGGCGGAAUUCCUAGUGUAGCGGUGAAAUGCGUAGAUAUUAGGAGGAACACCGGUGGCGAAGGCGGCCUGCUGGACUGUAACUGACGUUGAGGCUCGAAAGCGUGGGGAGCAAACAGGAUUAGAUACCCUGGUA
rnacentral:rRNA from 1 species